UGGGGAAUAUUGGACAAUGGGCGCAAGCCUGAUCCAGCCAUGCCGCGUGAGUGACGAAGGUCUUCGGAUUGUAAAGCUCUUUUUGGCGGGGACGAUAAUGACGGUACCCGCAGAAUAAGCCCCGGCUAACUUCGUGCCAGCAGCCGCGGUAAUACGAAGGGGGCUAGCGUUGUUCGGAAUUACUGGGCGUAAAGCGCACGUAGGCGGACUGAUAAGUCAGGGGUGAAAUCCCGGGGCUCAACCUCGGAACUGCCUUUGAUACUGUUAGUCUCGAGUCCGGAAGAGGUGAGUGGAAUUCCUAGUGUAGAGGUGAAAUUCGUAGAUAUUAGGAAGAACACCAGUGGCGAAGGCGGCCAACUGGCUCGAUACUGACGCUGAGGUGCGAAAGCGUGGGGAGCAAACAGGAUUAGAUACCCGAGUAGUCCCUGAGCGGGCUGGCAAGGCG
rnacentral:rRNA from 1 species